rnacentral:rRNA from 1 species
GUGGGGAAUCUUCCGCAAUGGACGAAAGUCUGACGGAGCAACGCCGCGUGAGUGAAGAAGGUUUUCGGAUCGUAAAGCUCUUUCGUUAGGGACGAACGUGCUCUUUGUGAAUAAUGAGGAGUAAUGACGGUACCUAAAUAAGAAGCCACGGCUAACUACGUGCCAGCAGCCGCGGUAAUACGUAGGUGGCAAGCGUUGUCCGGAAUUAUUGGGCGUAAAGCGCGCGCAGGCGGGAUAUCAAGUCUGUCUUAAAAGUGCGAGGCUCAACCUCGUGAGGGGACAGAAACUGGUAUUCUUGAGUGUCGGAGAGGAAAGUGGAAUUCCAAGUGUAGCGGUGAAAUGCGUAGAGAUUUGGAAGAACACCAGUGGCGAAGGCGACUUUCUGGACGAUGUCUGACGCUGAGGCGCGAAAGCUAGGGGAGCGAACGGGAUUAGAUACACUUGUAGUCC